UACAGGGGGGGCAAGCGUUGUUCGGAAUUACUGGGCGUAAAGGGUCUGUAGGUGGCCAACUAAGUCAGACGUGAAAUCCCUCAGCUUAACUGGGGAACUGCGUCUGAUACUGGAUGGCUUGAGUGUGGGAGAGGAAUGCGGAAUUCCAGGUGUAGCGGUGAAAUGCGCAGAUAUCGGGAAGAACACCCGUGGCGAAGGCGGCACUCUGGGGCGGUACUGACGCUGAGACGCGAAAGCGUGGGGAGCGAACAGG
rnacentral:rRNA from 1 species